rnacentral:rRNA from 1 species
CCUACGGGAGGCAGCAGUGGGGGAUAGUGCACAAUGGGGGGAACCCUGAUGCAGCGACGCCGCGUGGGUGAAGGAGGGCUUCGGCAUGUAAAGCCCUAUCGGCAGGGAAGAAGGAAGACGGAACCGGACGAAGAAGCACGGGCUAACUCAGUGCGAGCAGCCGAGGUAAGACGGAGGGGGCGAGCGUUCACCGGAUUGACUGGGGGUAAAGGGAGCGUAGAGGGCAAUGCACGGCAGGGGUGCAAGCCCGGGGCCCACCCCCGGGACUGCCCUUGAUACGGCAUGGCUUGAGUGCGGGUGGGGCAGGCGGAAUUCCUGGUGUAGCGGUGAACUGCUUAGAUAUCUGGAAGAACACCAGUGGCGAAGGCGGCCGCCUGGCCUGUUCCUGACGCUGAUGCACGAAAGCGUGGGUAGCAAAUAGGAUUAGAUACCCCAGUAGUC